UGAUGCCUACGGGGCGCAGCAGUAGGGAAUCUUCCACAAUGGGCGAAAGCCUGAUGGAGCAACGCCGCGUGGGUGAAGAAGGUCUUCGGAUCGUAAAACCCUGUUGUUAGAGAAGAAAGUGCGUGAGAGUAACUGUUCACGUUUCGACGGUAUCUAACCAGAAAGCCACGGCUAGCUACGUGCCAGCAGCCGCGGUAAUACGUAGGUGGCAAGCGUUAUCCGGAUUUAUUGGGCGUAAAGAGAACGCAGGCGGUCUUUUGAGUCUGAUGUGAAAGCCUUCGGCUUAACCGGAGUAGUGCCUUGGA
rnacentral:rRNA from 1 species